CCCAGGAUUUCAUUGAAUAAUUUAAACACUGUGCUCAUGGUAUCAGUGUCUUUGCUCACUGUACCUGGUAUAUUGUGUUGUUCUGUGUUUUAACACUGUUACAUUGUUUGGUCGUACAACUUGGCUUUUGCCAGCGCUUCACUCCUCUUCAGCUCCACCGUUGUAUUCAAACAUGGUCACCUCCGUCUCCAGCUCCUCCUCCAGCAUUAUACUGAACAUCUCCUGCACAAAGUUGUUCUCAUGUAGCGCUCCUCCUCAGCUCCACCCUCUCCUCAAGUCACCUGUGGCUCCAGGAACAGGAGGUGAAAUCUAAAGAAGAGCCGUGAACAACAGAACAGAGGAGACAGGAAGCAGCACAGAGGACACAGACAGGAUGAGGCUGAAUGAACAGACCGACAACGAGAGAGAAGAAGAAAAGACGAGAGACAAGUGUCAAUGCUGAGACCUCAAAGCAAACAGAGGACUCCAUUUAAAGAAGAGACGGACGAGUUUGGAGACAACAAGAGGUCGGCACAACAUCUAGAAUCAGCUGCAAAAACAGAGUUUGCAAAUCAAAUCUGAAUAAAUAUAGAGCCAUGAAUAAUC